AGUGGGGAAUUUUGGACAAUGGGCGCAAGCCUGAUCCAGCAAUGCCGCGUGAGUGAAGAAGGCCUUCGGGUUGUAAAGCUCUUUUGUCAGGGAAGAAACGGCCUGGGUUAAUACCUUGGGCUAAUGACGGUACCUGAAGAAUAAGCACCGGCUAACUACGUGCCAGCAGCCGCGGUAAUACGUAGGGUGCAAGCGUUAAUCGGAAUUACUGGGCGUAAAGCGUGCGCAGGCGGUUUUGUAAGUCUGUCGUGAAAGCCCCGGGCUUAACCUGGGAAUUGCGAUGGAGACUGCAAGGCUUGAAUCUGGCAGAGGGGGGUAGAAUUCCACGUGUAGCAGUGAAAUGCGUAGAGAUGUGGAGGAACACCGAUGGCGAAGGCAGCCCCCUGGGUCAAGAUUGACGCUCAUGCACGAAAGCGUGGGGAGCAAA
rnacentral:rRNA from 1 species